AAGGCAAUGUGUUAGUCACAAUAGUGUUCCGUAUCGAUCUCUCGGGAUCUGCGUGACGGAUAUGUCAGGUGAGUGCCAAUCUAACGUAUAUCACGCACAACGUCUGGGCGUAGCUACUCCGUGGAUCUUGCUGCAUUAUUCAUGCCCACGCAUAUAUCAAAUCUGUCUUGCGUAUUAGCAUAAUGCGAGACAAGACUCCGGGCGACGAAUCCGAUGAGAAUAAGGACGAGAGCUCUAUUUUAAUUGCAUGCCCUGGUUGCAACGUAAUAAAGGAAGAAAAAAAGGAGCACGUCAUCCUUCGACGACCACUUAUCGUGACAGCUGGAUUAUGUCUUUUUAAC